rnacentral:rRNA from 1 species
CACGGAGGGUGCAAGCGUUGUUCGGAUUUAUUGGGCGUAAAGCGCGUGUAGGCGGUUUCUUAAGUCUGAUGUGAAAGCCCUGGGCUCAACCCAGGAAGUGCAUUGGAUACUGGGAGACUUGAAUACGGGAGAGGGUAGUGGAAUUCCUAGUGUAGGAGUGAAAUCCGUAGAUAUUAGGAGGAACACCGGUGGCGAAGGCGGCUACCUGGACCGAUAUUGACGCUGAGACGCGAAAGCGUGGGGAGCAAACAGG